rnacentral:rRNA from 1 species
UACGUAGGGUGCAAGCGUUGUCCGGAAUUAUUGGGCGUAAAGAGCUCGUAGGCGGUCUGUCGCGUCGGCUGUGAAAUCCCGAGGCUCAACCUCGGGUCUGCAGUCGAUACGGGCAACUGGAGUGUUGCAGGGGAGACUGGAAUUCCUGGUGUAGCGGUGAAAUGCGCAGAUAUCAGGAAGAACACCAGCGGCGAAGGCGGCGCUCUGGGCUGGAACUGACGCUGAGGAGCGAAAGCGUGGGUAGCAAACAGGAUUAGACUACCCCA